AAGCAAUGAUGAUCUUUUUGUGUCUAAAGACUUGUUCUUUUUUGAAUUCGUCUCUGAUGGCAAACACAACCCUCUAAGAAGUUCUGAGCAA